CACGUAGGGCGCAAGCGUUGUCCGGAAUUAUUGGGCGUAAAGAGCUCGUAGGCGGUCUGUUGCGUCCGCUGUGAAAACUCGGGGCUUAACCCCGAGCCUGCAGUGGAUACGGGCAGACUAGAGGUAGGUAGGGGAGAAUGGAAUUCCCGGUGUAGCGGUGAAAUUCGUAGAUAUCGGGAGGAACACCAGUGGCGAAGGCGGCGAUCUGGGUCGAUACUGACGCUGAGGUGCGAAAGCGUGGGGAGCAAACAGG
rnacentral:rRNA from 1 species